AUACUGUUAGUAUAAUUUAUUAUACUUCUUUUCCAAAGAAGAGAUCUAUUUUUAGAUGGUGUA
rnacentral:tRNA from 1 species